GCUUUUUGACUGACAUCGGACGCAGCCAGCUCAUCCCUUGUGGCCCUCAGCUCGUCAUCAGACGUCUUCAAGUCCAUUAUAGCUCGAUCUAGGUCUUUCCGAAGGCCUUCAUUGGUAUGAAGAACGCCCUCGUGAUCGCUUUUUUCCCGAGCCAGGGUUGCCUUCAGCAUAUGGUUAUCCUGUCUCAAAAAAUCCUCCUCGGCUUCACCAUUGAUAUGCCUCGGACGUAAACGCCCGAAGACAGCAUUUGCCUGCAUAUGUCCAACAAUAUCCGAUCAAAUUCAAAUAUUUAAACAGAAGUAGGAGUGAAGAAAAUAAAUAAAAAACUGUUACUUACCUUAGCCAAAUAACCCAUCCCCUCGUCAAGCAGAUCCUCGUCCGUGUGAUUACCAAAUCGGUGAUCGUCUGUGUCUCGAACGAAGGUAUCAAAGAGCUUGAAAGGGAAAUUCGCAUUAAAUCGAGGCCAUAGGGUCGGAGACCCCAUAGCUUCAUUAUGAUAUCCCUGAUUUGAAGGUCCGGGUCGUUCGGGUGAUACCUUUGCUAGAUCGGGAGAUGGAGUUGGUCGUUUGGGAGACGGUGACGGGUCCAUGUGUACAUUCUCGGGAGAUGGAGAUCGGAUCGGCACGGAUUCUCGUGGUGGUGAUGGGGCUGAAGCCGCACUAGGAGGAUCAUCAGAAGAGCGCUUUCUUUUCUGAGAUAGUGCAGGCACGGUUUCAACUUGCUCUUCUUCAUCAGAAACUUGUAUCUCCACUGGAAUUGGUGAAGGGAGCUUGAUCGAAGACGGAGGUACUCUGAGCUCUUCGGCUGACAGAGGAGUCACUUUGGAUUUCAAUUUUUUGAUUCGGAGAAGACUCCUUCGAUCAGGAUGAUCGAGUAAGCUUCCCCGAGGAGGGACUGAUGUGGUGGGUGGUUCAGAUUCUGGAAUGGGCUCCGAAGUUUUUAGAACGGGC
rnacentral:lncRNA from 1 species